rnacentral:rRNA from 1 species
UACGUAGGCAGCAAGCGUUGUUCGGAGUUACUGGGCGUAAAGGGUGCGUAGGCGGCUUUUUAAGUCUGGUGUGAAAUCUCCCGGCUCAACUGGGAGGGUGCGCCGGAUACUGAGGGGCUAGAGUGUGGGAGAGGAAAGUGGAAUUCCUGGUGUAGCGGUGAAAUGCGUAGAUAUCAGGAGGAACACCGGUGGUGUAAACGGCUUUCUGGACCAUAACUGACGCUGAGGCACGAAAGCGUGGGUAGCGAACAGG